GUGGGGAAUCUUCCGCAAUGGACGAAAGUCUGACGGAGCAACGCCGCGUGAGUGAAGAAGGUUUUCGGAUCGUAAAGCUCUUUCGUUAGGGACGAACGUGCUCUUUGUGAAUAAUGAGGAGUAAUGACGGUACCUAAAUAAGAAGCCACGGCUAACUACGUGCCAGCAGCCGCGGGAAUACGUAGGUGGCAAGCGUUGUCCGGAAUUAUUGGGCGUAAAGCGCGCGCAGGCGGGAUAUCAAGUCUGUCUGAAAAGUGGGAGGCUCAACCUCGUGAGGGGACAGAAACUGGUAUUCUUGAGUGUCGGAGAGGAAAGUGGAAUUCCAAGUGUAGCGGUGAAAUGCGUAGAGAUUUGGAAGAACACCAGUGGCGAAGGCGACUUUCUGGACGAUGUCUGACGCUGAGGCGCGAAAGCUAGGGGAGCGAACGGGAUUAGAUACCCCUGUAGUCC
rnacentral:rRNA from 1 species